rnacentral:misc_RNA from 1 species
AUAGAAUUGAGAGACAAAAAAUCAGAGUGUCUUUGAAGAGACCAAGCUCCUACUAAGCCGCAGCCGCCAGAGGAACAGACCGAUAACACGCCCUCUUCACAGCACGGACGAUAUCAUCUACCUGUGGAAGCGCCAGACGCUCGAGGUUUGCAGCAUAGGGCAUUGGAACAUCGGAUCCAGCAAGCCUCUCCACUGGUGCAUCCAGAUACUCAAAGCUCUCCUCGACGACAGAAGCGCAGAUUUCAG